rnacentral:rRNA from 1 species
UGAGUAACCUGCCCUCAACUCUGGGAUAAGCCUGGGAAACUGGGUCUAAUACCGGAUAUGACCUUGGGAUGCAUGUCCUUUGGUGGAAAGCUUUUGCGGUGUGGGAUGGGCCCACGGCCUAUCAGCUUGUUGGUGGGGUUAAGGCCUACCAAGGCGAUGACGGGUAGCCGGCCUGAGAGGGUGAUCGGCCACAUUGGAACUGAGACACGGUCCAGACUCCUACGGGAGGCAG